rnacentral:rRNA from 1 species
GAUGAACGCUAGCGGCAGGCCUAACACAUGCAAGUCGAGGGAGAGGUUAUCUUCGGGUAACCAAAACCGGCGCACGGGUGCGUAACGCGUAUACAAUCUGCCUUUCACAUAGGGAUAGCCCGAAGAAAUUUGGAUUAAUACCUAAUGGUAUAUAGGAGCGGCAUCGUUUUUAUAUUAAAGCUACGGUGGUGAAAGAUGAGUAUGCGUUCUAUUAGCUAGUUGGAGAGGUAACGGCUCCCCAAGGCGACGAUAGAUAGGGGUUCUGAGAGGGAUGUCCCCCACACUGGUACUGAGAUACGGACCAGACUCCUACGGGAGGCAGCAGUGAGGAAUAUUGGACAAUGGUCGGAAGACUGAUCCAGCCAUGCCGCGUGCAGGAUGAAGGUCCUAUGGAUUGUAAACUGCUUUUGUAAGGGAAGAAUAAGGAGUACCUGUACUUUGAUGACGGUACCUUACGAAUAAGCAUCGGUUACCUCCUCGCGGGCAGCCGCGUUAAAACAGAGGAUGCGAGCGUCAUCCGGAAGCUUCGAGUUCAAAGGGUCCGUAGGCGGACUGAUAACUCAGAGGUGACAGCGCUUAUCUCAACUAAGCA